AUGCAAAUUCAAAACUUUGGAGAUCCUUUUUUCUAUGUUAUACAUGAAGGUGAAGUUCUAUCUGAAAUUAGAUUGAGAAUACAGAAGAAACUUCAAGUUUCUGGUGAAGAGUUUAGCAAGUGGAAGUUUGCUUUUCUAUCACUUGGGCGCCCUGAGUACCUUCAGAAUUCAGACAUUGUAUCCAGUCGUUUUCAGAGGCGAGAUGUUUAUGGUGCUUGGGAGUAA